UGUGUGCCGGUAUAUCAGUCGAAGUAGUUCGUAAAUGUUUGGAUUAUAUAAUUAAUUAAAUGUAGUGUUAUAGCUUGUAUUUAUUGAUCUAAGUUUAAAAUGAUUGCCAGUGAAGUGUUUUAUUGCAAACAUAAUUAAGAUUUUCAAGGGUUAAGUCAUUUAGUUUAAUUACUACACGAUCUUCUUGUAGCGGACUGAAACAGUGCCGACUUCUGACUAUGUAAACCAUCCAUAUACAUCCAAGCUUUUUUGGAUAAAAAUGGCCGAGGAGUUCCGAAUGUCAUCACAAACGACUAAAUCGCCUCUGACCGUUUAGCGAAACAGGGAUACCUCACUAUAGUGGGUUUAAACCAGAUUGCGAGAGUUUGCAACCAUAUCAAUCUUAUCAUCAAAGUGAACACAAUGACUGAACACAAGCAAACUGCGACUAUGGCGCUGCUGCUGCUCCGUUCCAACUGUGCGCCAUCAUUAAGGUUGCGCUUAGGGUGAUGGGAAACAAGUUUCUAUUUACGAACGAGUUCAGGAUCCGGUUGGCCAAGAUGAUUGCUCCGCCCACUGAAGAAGCAGACCCAGGAGGAACUGCUAAAGAACCAGCCAGACAGCCCCCCCCCCAAGCUGGCCACCUGGCUGAGCUGUACUUGGUGUUUGCCAACAUGCUGUAAUUUCCAGCCUGGUUGCUGUAGCCACAGAGGAAUUUUCAAGGACAAGAACCAGUGCUGGUAAAACUGUGGUCUCGUGUGGUUUUCCAUACCGGCUCUCGGCAAAGUUUUUCAAGAAAGGAAUAUCAUCUCCAAAUCAUGAUGUGCCAAUAAGCUCCAGUUAGCUGUGGCCUUUUCCCCAGGCGGUAGUCCUGCAAUCUGAAUCCAGGAGAUGCAGCUCUGAAUCCAAUAUUUCAGAAGAAUGAAGAUACAGCAGAAACUGAUACUUUAGCCGAAAUAGCAGAAAAUAUGACGGUAUGUUCAAGUAUAAAUACAGAAAUAUAAAGCCAUUUGUCUAUUAAAGUAUGAGACAUUAUAUAACAAAGCCAUUUGUCUAUUAAAGCAUGAGACAUUAUAUAACAAACAUACUGAACUUAAAAUGAUCAUUAAUUGGAUUUUGGCUGUAAUUGCAAUAUGUAGUAUACACUGUAAUUUUAAGAAUACACCACAUCUAUAAAAUCUAUGAAAUACUUUUAUGUUUGGUUCGUCUUUAGGUGGUAUAUAUAUAUUUGGUAUGAUCAUAAAUAUCAGAUAACAGUUUGCCUGUACAUAUCUUUUAAACCUUGUUUUUGUAUUUCAGUACGCUUACAUUGUGUUUACAUUUUGUAAAUAUUUGUACAUUUUAUGAUGGAGUUAAUUUUUAUUUACUUUUGCUUUCCCAUUAAAUCCUAUUUUAUUUUAGUAAAUUACUAAUUCAAGUUUCAUUUUGUGAACACAGAGAAUCGGUCAAUGGCGAAGUCGGGAAUCUAGUCUUGGUCUCUCUCGAGAGCCAUUUCAGUAUGCUAAGCUCUUACCCUACAUAUCUCAUUAUUAAAGUUCUUUCUGUGAUUUCUGUGAUGGAGUUUUUUUAUUUAUCCACUCCUCUGUGCAUAAAGCCUGACAUAUUUGAGAAAGUACCGUCUUUGGUAUUCCUGAAAUAUUACAUUUAUACCCUAUAUUGUCACUUGAUAACAGUUCGAAGGCCAUCAUGCUUUGGCUCAUAUACUCUGUGUUUAUUAUGGGUUUUUUUUAAUUUUGUUUUCAUAAUUUGCUUGUAUGAAAUACCCCUUCUUACAACAACAUUUGUGUCCAGCAUAAGCUGACUCAGAGUCUGAUAUAGUGACAUCCUUGUACGAAAUAUCAAUCCACUUUUAAAUGUUUGCUAUAGGUUGUUUAGAAUAUACUAUAAAAUAUUCCGAUCAAGAAAAUAUCUUGUAAAUGACGAGAACGAAUGAUAGAAGUAUUAAUAUUUUCUUGAAUAGAUAAUUUUAAGCAGAUAUGUUAGGUUUAUUUUAAUAAUAUGGAAAGAAACAUAGAACAAUAAAAAAGCAUUGAACCUGCUCCAUGUUUACUGAUGGAACAUUCUCCAAUUAUGUUAAUCAUGUUCUCGAUGACUUUUUAGCAUACUUUAAAUGUACUGUUCAUAACAUACACUUAAU